UGAGUUAUUCUACGCAUCCAUAACUGUAGAGGUGCACACUUUACACACCAUACGUGGCGUCUUCUUUUUCUUUUUUUUUUCUUUUUUUUUUCGUUUAUGCUAAAAUUAGCAUUUGAAUUUUGAACCAUCGAUGUAUUGAACCCAUCGUACUCCCGCGUCCCCCUCCCUCCCUUUCGUCGCCUAGCACACUCAAGCGUCACCGUCCCUAUCGUUGCCCAACAACGGCGACUCAUCGGCCUGCCUCUGACCAUCGCCGCUUAGCCUUUUUUCCCCACAGUCCAUUUCAAACAAGGGGGAGUUCAUGGGGACCACUCGUCACCCAACACCCGCGUCGCCGUCCCUCUCGUUGCCCAGCACCCGCAAGCCUUCCACUGCAUAGUUCAAAUCCUUCCCCCUAUUUUGGAAGAGUUAAAGCAAAAUGAAAGUUCUCCUCUUAUUAUUUUCUGGGUUUUCUUUGGAGUGAGAAAUUGCUCCGAAUUUGGUCUUCGUAGCUCCAGAGUUUUUCUACAAAGGUACUUGAAGACACAGAGUAACAGACAGAAAGAAAAAGAGACACUUGCAGCUUGAUAAGGCCAAAGGGGUCUAGCACCAGAGAGAGCAAGCCUCCGUACUUUUCACAGACUGGAAUAUAACUAUUUGGUUUCAACCCAGGAUCGGAUUUUGGCAAGAUUGGAAGCAAAGACAAGUGGACAGUUUCUAAGGGUGUUGCAGUGAAGCUGAUUGUAUAUCUUGUAUUACUAUAGUUUGUCAAUAUUACUUUCACUAGGCCAUUGUAGGACGUUCUUUAAAUUGGAGUGAAGAUUUUUUUGUAAAUGAAAUUGAUGGCUAAUGAGAUAGUCAUUAUCAUGUGAACAGUGUACUAAUUAUAAGUGAAAUCUAAGAGUUUUCAGGAAAAGUUACUAUGCUAGCAA